rnacentral:piRNA from 1 species
UGCACACUGGCACCCAAGAGGCACAGCCUCA